rnacentral:rRNA from 1 species
UACGUAGGGACCGAGCGUUGUCCGGAUUCAUUGGGCGUAAAGAGCUCGUAGGCGGCUGUUCAAGUCGAACGUGAAAACUCGGAGCUCAACUCCGAGCCUGCGUUCGAUACUGGACGGCUAGAGUCUGGUAGGGGGAUCUGGAAUUCCUGGUGUAGGGGUGGAAUGCGCAGAUAUCAGGAGGAACACCGGUGGCGAAGGCGGUUCUCUGGGCCUUACCUGACGCUGAGGAGCGAAAGCGUGGGGAGCAAACAGG